rnacentral:lncRNA from 1 species
UGGUGAUAUUAAAAUCAAUAGCAUUCUGUCUUCUCUUUUAUAGAUAGGAUUCGGCAAAUCAAACAAAAUUUCUCAAUUUGAGAAAUUUUAAGAACUUAAAAGAAAAGCAAAGUUUGUGUGUAUCAGCUUGGGGAUCGGCUUGUACCGUUGUGUAUGUAACUAUUUGUUAUUACACAAGAUGAAAGACUUGUUAGGAUUACAGUCAAUUGAAAGAAAACGCUAAUUACUGCUGAUUAAUGUUGAUGUCUGGAUUGUUUUAAUAUAAUUAUACCC